GGUAGGUUGGCUCAGUGUUUAGAGCCCUGUAGGUCUCGUAACCAAAAGGUCACGGGUUCGAAUCCCGCUAAAGGCUG
rnacentral:tRNA from 1 species